UACGUAGGAAUCUGCCUGGCAAUGGGGGACAACUUGGGGAAACUCAAGCUAAUACCGCAUACGCCCUACGGGGGAAAGCGGGGGAUCUUCGGACCUCGCGUUGUUAGAUGAGCCUACGUCCGAUUAGCUAGUUGGUAGGGUAAAGGCCUACCAAGGCGACGAUCGGUAGCUGGUCUGAGAGGACGACCAGCCACACUGGGACUGAGACACGGCCCAGACUCCUACGGGAGGCAGCAGUGGGGAAUAUUGGACAAUGGGGGAAACCCUGAUCCAGCAAUGCCGCGUGUGUGAAGAAGGCCUGCGGGUUGUAAACCUCUUUCAGCAGGGACGAAGCGAAAGUGACUGUACCUGCAGAAGAAGCGCCGGCUAACUACGUG
rnacentral:rRNA from 1 species